AGGAGGAACAAUGUGUAAUCAGUCAGUCCCACAACAACACAUAUUAUUAAUUUUCCUUUACAUGAGGGACAGUAACUUCACUUAUCGGACCGGUCAAGCUGGAGAUAUUAAUGGUCUAGUCCACUCCAGAGAACUUUCGAGGGCGCUGCC